UGUGUGUGUGCGCUGCGUGGUGACGUAGGCGCGUGCAUGUGUGCCCCGGUCACAGCUCCUUUCAGCAUGGCCGGAGGAGAGGUGUACUGGCAGUCGCGUGACACACACAGAUCAGACACAUAUUUCUGUGUUGCAGAUGUGCAGUAAAGAGCCAAAGACCCAGUACUGUCUCCUGCCUCUUACUUUCACGCCAGAACACAACGCAAGAACAACAGGCGUAACACAUGAACGGGUUACACAUACUGAGUGAAAAGCUCACCUGAUGUAGUGGUGAGGCCAUGUUCACCACUAGAUGGAGACAACCUGGCACAGGCCUCCUCCUGUUUCACUGCCAUAUAUCCACCACCAGAGGGCUCCACUGACCUGCCUGCUGACAUCAGAGCACACCCCUGUGUCAUGUGACCUGGCAGGAGUAGCAAAGCUGGACUCAGACCUGGCCCAGGCAAGUUCAAA